rnacentral:misc_RNA from 1 species
GUUGAUUCCUCCUAUGAAGUUGCAUUCCAAGUUUUGAAAAAAUUGUAUCCGGAACAUUGUUGGUGGGAUCAUCUCUAACCACAUCAUCUUUAGCAAUCUUGACUCCACCUAGUUCGAGAAUAGAAACGACAGGUCGUCCCCACUUUCUUUNNNNNNNNGUAGAGAGAGAUGAGGAGCUAGAGAAAGGCACGGAGAAGUGAUUAAAGGCAUUUCUUCUUCUAUGGAGAAAGAGCGACGAUGUUCUGAGGGAAAAGAGAGUGUAGUGUGCAAGCGAAAACGCCGUUGCCAUGAUUCCCCACUUUCUGAGAGAGAAACAAGCUCUCAAACCAUAGAAAAUACUACAUUCAAUCCGCAGUCUCAAUGGGUUCUCAUAGAGACUCCAU